rnacentral:rRNA from 1 species
GCAGUCGCGAAAACUUUGCAAUAAGCGAAAGCUUGACAGGGCUAUCCCGAGUGCCAUCCGCUGAGGAAGGCUUUUACCCAGUCUAGAACGCUGGGGGAAUAAGGAGAGGGCAAGUCUGGUGUCAGCCGCCGCGGUAAUACCAGCUCUCCGAGUGGUGUGGAUGUUUAUUG